rnacentral:rRNA from 1 species
UACGGAGGGUGCGAGCGUUGUUCGGAAUCACUGGGCGUAAAGCGCGUGUAGGCGGCCUGCUAAGUCUGAUGUGAAAGCCCCGGGGGCUCACCCCCCGGAAGUGCAUUGGAAACUAGCGGGCUGGAGUCCCGGAGAGGAGGGUGGAAUUCCUGGUGUAGCGGUGAAAUGCGUAGAUAUCAGGAGGAACACCGGUGGCGAAGGCGGCCCUCUGGACGGUGACUGACGCUGAGACGCGAAAGCGUGGGGAGCAAACAGG